UGUAAUUUUUUGGGGUAGGUAAGAGACUGGCGCUAGCGCAAUUGAAGCGGGGCGAGGUGAGACCGCUGCUGUGCAGCAGCCUGGCAGGCGGUGAGGGUUGCAGAUGUACUGGCAGGUGUAACUCGCCAUUCCAGGAAGAAUUGGCUGUUGCCUGAGUGGUGCUACUUCUUCGAGCUCAAACACGAAAGAGCCAUCUGGGCUUCUGCGAUUUUCUGCCGGCAGGGCGGCGAAACUACAACCUCCACGGCGGAGGCCUUCUUCGAGUCUGCUGCUGGAGCUUGGCGCCUCCCCUUCAUCAAGUGGUGUGUCCCCGGUGAACUGAAGGUGACCGACGGCUUCGACUCUUCGUCAGGAAUGGAGCUGUCGAGCAUACUGCUCUGGAUCCUCGGCGGCGAUGCUUGAGGACGCCAGCGAAUGGUGGAGGCGGUGCCCAGGGACCCGAUUGCUUUUCUAUUUUUUGUCCCAAGAUGUUUUUUGUUAAUCUAGAGGUCCUUUCUUCAAAUUCUAGGUUUCUCAGGGUGAGAGAUGUAAAGGGUCCUCUUUGCAAUUUCUACCGGCCACGUGUGGAUUGAAUGGAUAUCUGGGGCCUUCUAGGCCCUGUCCUCGUGCAAUUUUUUUUAUUUGACCCUUUUGAUAGUUGUACCAAUCUUUUUUCCAACGUUUUCAUUUUCCUGCCAUGUAAAGUGCUCUCUAUGUUAGUUAGGCAUAAAGUAGAUGCCCAAGAUAUAUUUAGAACAUGUUUGGUAAUGUGCAAUGUCUCCAUUCCAGGUUAUAGAUUUUGCUUUCAAACUUUUAUCCUUCAAA